rnacentral:rRNA from 1 species
GAUGAACGCUGGCGGCGUGCCUAAUACAUGCAAGUCGAGCGAACAGAUGAGGAGCUUGCUCCUCUGACGUUAGCGGCGGACGGGUGAGUAACACGUGGAUAACCUACCUAUAAGACUGGGAUAACUUCGGGAAACCGGAGCUAAUACCGGAUAAUAUAUUGAACCGCAUGGUUCAAUAGUGAAAGACGGUUUUGCUGUCACUUAUAGAUGGAUCCGCGCCGCAUUAGCUAGUUGGUAAGGUAACGGCUUACCAAGGCAACGAUGCGUAGCCGACCUGAGAGGGUGAUCGGCCACACUGGAACUGAGACACGGUCCAGACUCCUACGGGAGGCAGCAGUAGGGAAUCUUCCGCAAUGGGCGAAAGCCUGACGGAGCAACGCCGCGUGAGUGAUGAAGGUCUUCGGAUCGUAAAACUCUGUUAUUAGGAAAGAACAAAUGUGUAAGUAACUAUGCAGGUCUUGACGGUACCUAAUCAGAAAGCCACGGCUAACUACGUG